rnacentral:rRNA from 1 species
AAAGAUUAAGCCAUGCAUGUAUAAGUUUAAUCGUAUUUACGAGAAACCGCGAACGGCUCAUUACAAUGGCCAUGAUUUACUUGAUCUUGAUAAUCCUAAAUGGACAACUGUGGAAAAGCUAGAGCUAAUACAUGCACUAAAGCUUUGUCCUUACGGAAAAGCGCAUUUAUUAGAACAAAACCAAGCGGCUUCGGCUGCUUCUUGUUGACUCAGAAUAACUAAGCUGACCGCAUGGCCAAGUGCCGGCGGCGAAUCUUUCAAGCGUCCACUUUAUCAACUUGACGGGAGCAUAAUCGACUCCCGUGGUGGUGACGGAUAACGGAGGAUCAGGGUUCGACUCCGGAGAAGGGGCCUGAGAAAUGGCCACUACGUCUAAGGAUGGCAGCAGGCGCGCAAAUUACCCACUCUCGGCUCGAGGAGGUAGUGACGAGAAAUAACGAGGUCGUUCUCAAAUGAGGCCGGUCAUCGGAAUGGGUACAAUUUAAACCCUUUAACGAGUAUCAAGCAGAGGGCAAGUCUGGUGCCAGCAGCCGCGGUAAUUCCAGCUCUGCUAAUACAUAGAAUUAUUGCUGCGGUUAAAAAGCUCGUAGUUGGAUUCGUGUCGAUACCCUGGAACCCUUCGGGUGUCUCUAGGUGUUAUCGAUUUAUCGUAAUGUUCGGUCUUGAGUCCUUAACAGGAUUCCUGACAGGCGUUACAAGUUUACUUUGAACAAAUCAGAGUGCUUCAAACAGGCGUUUAGCUUGAAUGAUCGUGCAUGGAAUAAUAGAAUACGAUUUCGGUUCAGUUUUAUUGGUUUUACGGACUGAGAUAAUGGUUAACAGAGACAAACGGGGGCAUUUGUAUGGCCCCGUGAGAGGUGAAAUUCUUGGACCGUGGCCAGACAAACUACAGCGAAAGCAUUUGCCAAGAAUG